rnacentral:rRNA from 1 species
GAAGUUAGCGGCGGACGGGUGAGUAACACGUGGGUAACCUGCCCAUAAGACUGGGAUAACUCCGGGAAACCGGGGCUAAUACCGGAUAACAUUUUGAACCGCAUGGUUCGAAAUUGAAAGGCGGCUUCGGCUGUCACUUAUGGAUGGACCCGCGUCGCAUUAGCUAGUUGGUGAGGUAACGGCUCACCAAGGCAACGAUGCGUAGCCGACCUGAGAGGGUGAUCGGCCACACUGGGACUGAGACACGGCCCAGACUCCUACGGGAGGCAGCAGUAGGGAAUCUUCCGCAAUGGACGAAAGUCUGACGGAGCAACGCCGCGUGAGUGAUGAAGGCUUUCGGGUCGUAAAACUCUGUUGUUAGGGAAGAACAAGUGCUAGUUGAAUAAGCUGGCACCUUGACGGUACCUAACCAGAAAGCCAGGCUAACUACGUGCCAGCAGCCGCGGUAAUACGUAGGUGGCAAGCGUUAUCCGGAAUUAUUGGGCGUAAAGCGCGCGCAGGUGGUUUCUUAAGUCUGAUGUGAAAGCCCNCGGCUCAAC